UAGCUGGGACUACAGGCACCCACUAUACCCAGCUAACUUUUGUAUUUUUUGUAGAGAUGGUGUUUCUCCUUGUUGCUCAGGCUGGUCUUGAACUCCUGGGCUCAAGCGAUCCACCCACCUCAGCCUGAGCCUUCCAGAGUCCUAGGAUUACAGGUGUGAACCACUGCUCCUGGGCCUUCCUUCUCUUAAAUGUAACUGUAGGUAGGAUUUUGAAAAUUAUUGUUCUUAUUACUUAUUAUGCUAGGCAAAAAUUAAGUAGUAAAGAAUAUAUUUAAACAUUGGUCUUCAACUCUUUGGAACUAUGAAGCAGAGUUUAAGUACCGCUGUUCCAGCUUAGAUGGUAUGUGUAUCAGGAAAAGAUAAAAAAUAUGUUGAGAUAUUAAUUCAAGUGUUUUAGCAUUUUUUUUAAAGGGCGUAUAAAUUGCCUUUGUAACUGUGAUUUUCCCUUUUUAGGAAAACCUGUUUGAUUCUUUGACAGGCCAGCCACAUCCUGAAGAUGUACUACUGUUUGCCAUUCCAAUAUGCGCCCCUUACACCACCAUGACAAACUACAAAUACAAAGUGAAACUUACUCCUGGAGUGCAGAAAAAGGGAAAAGCUGCAAAAACAGCCUUGAAUAGUUUCAUGCAUUCCAAAGAAGCAACAGCAAGAGAAAAAGACUUAUUCCGCAGUGUAAAGGACACAGAUUUAUCAAGAAACAUUCCUGGCAAAGUGAAAGUGUCUGCACCCAAUCUUC
rnacentral:sRNA from 1 species